GUCUUCACAAUUUCCAUUCUUUCUUACUGAUAGUGGGGGGCAGGCUCACACAUUUUUCCCAUGUAUGAUCCCUCAUUUCAUCAGAUGCUUAGGUUCUUCACACGGUGAAAGGGUAUUGCAUAGACUUCCUUUCUCUACUUGUUCAAUGUUCCCCAUCAAGGGAAAUUGUUUUUUCCCAAUGAGACACAGACCUUGUCUCUGUGGACAAUCAAUUGUAGAGAUUCUGGCGCAUACCCUGGUUUACGUGAGCAACCUUUUCUUGUUUCCCAAAAAAGGCAAAGGUAUCC